AAGCCAAGAUGGAGGGUCUGUGCUCAUUGAGUACAGGAACAAGUCCCCGCACGCCACCCAUUGCUUUCAAAUGAAGAGGAUUUAUUCCCGACCAGUCACUUGAGUUUGGAAAAUCGACACUGAUACGUUUGUUUGGGGAGUUUUGUUGCAGGAGAAUCAUUGAUCCGAGGAUGAGUUCAGGGGAGGGAGAGGACACAUCUAAGGAGGCGGCCGACAUAGCGGCGUUUUUUAAAUCCGAAUGUUCUCUUCCAAAAUGUGAACCUAAGCUUGAGUUACCCAGUCACACAGGGUUCCACAGAAAUGAAGACAUGAAUGCCUUUGAAGUUCUUCCCAUCCUAAAAGAAAAGGUAGCAUUCCUAUCAGGUGGAAGAGAUCGUCGUGGAGGGCCAGUCCUUACAUUUCCUGCCAGGAGUAACCAUGACAGAAUACGACAGGAGGACCUCAGACAACUUAUUGCGUACCUUGCAGGCAUUCCUAAUGAGGAGGUGAGCAGACAUGGCUUCACAGUCAUCGUGGAUAUGCGAGGAUCCAAAUGGGACUCUAUCAAACCUCUGCUGAAGAUCCUACAGGAAUCGUUUCCCUCCUGCAUCCACGUUGCUCUCAUCAUCAAGCCUGACAACUUUUGGCAGAAACAGAGGACAAAUUUCGGCAGUUCCAAGUUUGAAUUUGAAACCAUCAUGGUGUCCCUUGAGGGUUUGACCAAACUGGUUGAUCCUUCCCAGCUGACUCCAGACUUCGAUGGAAGUCUGGAUUAUGACCACGAGGAGUGGAUCGAAGUUCGAGUGGCAUUUGAAGACUUCACGAGCAAUGCUGCUCGCAUCCUUUCCCGUUUGGAAGAACUCCAGGACUUGGUGUCCCAGCGGGAGCUUCCGUUAGACCUGGACGGGUCUCGUCGUGCUAUAGAGGAACAUGCCUCCCUGAAGAAAAAGGUUACUAAAGCUCCUGUGGAGGAGUUAGAUACUGAGGGUCAGCGAUUGCUUCAACGAAUCCAGUUAGGGGAAAAAGGCAAAGGAGAUAUCCAGGGAAUAGCUCCAAAAGUCCAAGCACUUCUGGAUAAACUUCACGCCACACGACAACAUCUGCACCAAUCCUGGCACAUGCGCAAAGUCAAACUCGAUCAGUGCUUCCAGCUAAGACUCUUUCAGCAGGAUGCAGAGAAGAUGUUCGAUUGGAUCGUCCAUAAUAAAGGCCUGUUCCUGACAACCUACACAGAGAUAGGAGCCAACCAUCAGCAUGUGCUCGAGCUGCAGACCCAGCACGACCACUUUGCAAUGAAUUGCAUGAAUGUGUAUGUGAACAUCAGUCGGAUCAUGUCUGUGGGGAACAGGCUGCUGGAGUCAGGUCACUAUGCAACCCAGCAGAUUCAGCAGAUCUCAGGACAGCUGGAACAGGAAUGGAAAGCAUUUGCUUCUGCACUUGAUGAGAGGAGCACGCUGCUGGAGAUGUCUGCUAACUUCCACCAGAAAACUGACCAGUAUAUGAACAACAUUGACUCAUGGUGUAAGGCCUGUGGAGAGGGAGAACUUCCUUCUGAGCUACAGGACAUGGAAGACACAAUCCACCACCACCAGGGUCUCUAUGAACACAUAACCACUGCCUAUUUGGAGGUUAGUCAGGAUGGCAAAGCCCUACUAGAUAAGCUACAACGGCCUUUGACCCCAGGGAGUGCAGAUUCACUGACAUCCUCGGCUAACUACUCCAAGACAGUGCACCAUGUUCUGGAUAUCAUUCAUGAAGUUCUGCAUCACCAGAGGCAGUUGGAGAACAUCUGGCAGCACCGCAAACUUCGUCUUCACCAACGGCUACAGCUCUGCGUCUUCCAACAGGAUGUCCAGCAGGUUCUAGAUUGGAUUGAAAACCAUGGUGAGGCAUUCCUUAGUAAGCACACAGGAGUGGGGAAGUCUCUGCACAGGGCCCGAGCAUUACAGAAACGUCAUGAGGACUUUGAAGAAGUGGCUCAGAAUACCUACACAAAUGCAGACAAACUACUGGAGGCGGCAGAGCAGCUGGCUCAUACUGGCGAGUGUGACCCUGAGGAGAUCUACCAGGCCGCACACCAGCUGGAAGAUCGUAUCCAGGAUUUCGUAAGACGCGUUGAACAACGCAAAGUCCUGCUCGACAUGUCUGUGGCCUUCCACACUCACAGCAAAGAGCUGUGGACAUGGUUGGAGGAGCUUCAGAAGGAGUUGCUGGAUGACGUUUAUGCUGAGUCAGUGGAGGCGGUGCAGGAGCUGAUCAAACGUUUCGGUCAGCAGCAGCAAACCACCCUGCAGGUCACCGUCAACGUCAUUAAAGAAGGGGAAGAUCUCAUCCAGCAGCUCAGAGACUCUGCGAUCUCCAGCAAUAAGACUCCUCAUAACAGCUCUAUGGCUCACAUAGAGAGUGUCCUGCAGCAGCUGGAUGAGGCCCAGGCUCAGAUGGAGGAACUGUUUCAGGAACGGAAGAUCAAACUAGAACUCUUUCUCCAGCUCAGGAUCUUUGAACGAGAUGCCAUUGAUGUCAUCUCAGACCUGGAGGCAUGGAAUGAGGAGCUAUCCCAGCAGAUGAAUGAGUUUGACACUGAGGAUCUGACGCUAGCUGAGCAGAGACUACAGCAUCAUGCCGAUAAAGCUCUCACCAUGAACAACCUCACCUUCCAUGUCAUACACCAGGGACAGGAACUCCUUCAGUAUGUCACAGAAGUACAGGCCUCAGGUGUGGAGUUGUUAUGUGACCGUGAUGUUGACAUGGCGACGCGGGUGCAGGACCUGUUGGAUUUCCUGCAUGAAAAACAGCAGGAGCUGGACGCAGCCGCUGAGCAGCACAGGAGACACCUGGAGCAGUGCGUGCAGCUCCGCCACUUACAGGCCGAGGUCAAGCAGGUGCUGGGUUGGAUCCGUAAUGGGGAGUCAAUGCUUAAUGCAGGUCUCAUCACAGCCAGCUCUCUACAGGAGGCAGAACAGUUACAGCUGGAACAUGAGCAAUUUCAGCAUGCUAUCGAGAAAACCCAUCAGAGUGCACUGCAGGUGCAGCAGAAGGCAGAGGCUCUGCUACAGUCCAAUCACUAUGACAUGGACAUGAUCCGUGACUGCGCAGAGAAGGUGGCGUCUCAUUGGCAACAGCUCAUGCUGAAGAUGGAAGACCGCCUCAAACUGGUCAAUGCCUCAGUGGCUUUCUACAAGACAUCAGAGCAGGUGUGUAGUGUGCUGGAAAGUUUAGAGCAGGAAUACAAACGAGAGGAAGACUGGUGUGGAGGGACUGAUAAACUGGGACCAAACUCAGAGUCUGAUCAUGUGACGCCCAUGAUCAGUAAACACCUGGAGCAGAAAGAGGCCUUUCUUAAGGCAUGUACACUAGCAAGACGCAAUGCUGAUGUCUUCCUCAAGUACUUACACAGAAACAGCGUGAAUAUGCCGGGAAUGCUUGCACAUGUCAAGGCCCCUGAACAACAAGUCAACAACAUCCUGAAUGAGUUGCUGCAGCGGGAGAACCGGGUUCUGCACUUCUGGACCAUGAGGAAGAGAAGGCUUGACCAGUGUCAGCAGUAUGUGGUGUUUGAACGCAGUGCCAAACAGGCUUUGGAGUGGAUCCAUGAUACAGGAGAGUUUUACCUAUCCACACACACUUCCACAGGCUCCACUAUACACCACACACAGGAACUGCUGAAAGAACAUGAGGAAUUCCAGAUUACAGCCAGGCAAACCAAAGAGCGGGUAAAGUUGCUGAUCCAACUGGCUGAUGGUUUUUGUGAGAAGGGCCACUCCCAUGCAAGUGAGAUUCAGAAAUGGAUCGCCUCGGUGGACAAACGCUACCGUGACUUUUCCCUCCGCAUGGACAAGUACCGUUCCUGCCUUGAGAAAGCACUCGGCCUGUCCACUGACUCCAACAAAGCGAGUAAAAAUUUGCAGUUGGACAUCAUUCCAGCCAGUGCUCCUGGUGCAGAGAUCAAGCUCAGAGAUGCCAACCACGAACUCAAUGAGGAAAAACGGAAAUCGGCCCGUAGAAAAGAGUUUAUAAUGGCGGAGCUCAUUCAGACUGAGAAGGCAUAUGUGAGAGACCUGCGGGAGUGUAUGGAUACAUAUCUGUGGGAGAUGACCAGUGGUGUAGAGGAGAUUCCCCCAGGGAUUGUCAACAAAGAGCACAUAAUUUUCGGCAACAUGCAAGACCUAUUAGAGUUCCAUCACAAUAUUUUCCUUAAAGAACUGGAAAAAUAUGAACAACUUCCAGAGGAUGUGGGUCACUGUUUCGUCACAUGGGCGGAUAAGUUUCGGAUGUAUGUGAAUUACUGUAAGAACAAGCCUGACUCCACCCAGUUGAUUCUGGAACAUGCGGGGACCUAUUUUGAUGAAAUCCAGCAGAGACACAGGCUGGCUAAUUCCAUAUCAUCAUACCUUAUUAAACCAGUUCAAAGGAUCACCAAGUAUCAGCUUCUGUUGAAGGAACUAUUGACGUGUUGUGAGGAGGGUAAAGGAGAAAUUAAAGAUGGCCUGGAGGUCAUGCUUAGUGUGCCCAAAAAAGCUAAUGAUGCUAUGCACCUCAGUAUGCUGGAGGGUUUUGAUGAGAAGAUUGAGUCUCAGGGUGAGUUGAUUCUACAGGAGUCAUUCCAGGUUUGGGAUCCAAAGACUCUGAUUCGUAAGGGCAGAGAGCGGCACCUCUUCCUCUUUGAGAUGUCUCUUAUCUUCAGCAAGGACAUAAAAGACUCCAACGGCGGGAGCAAGUACCUCUACAAGAGCAAGCUCAUGACCUCACAACUAGGAGUUACUGAACAUGUGGAAGGAGAUCCAUGUAAAUUUGCACUCUGGCUUGGACGGACACCUACCUCAGACAACAAAAUAGUCCUGAAGGCUUCAUGUAUUGAAAACAAACAGGAUUGGAUUAAACAUGUACGUGAAGUUAUCCAGGAGCGUACCAUCCAUUUACGGGGGGCACUCAAAGAGCCAAUCCACAUUCCCAAAGCCACAGCAACCAAACACAAGGGCAAACGAGAUGGAGAGGACCUAGACAGUCAGGGUGAUGCAAGCAGUCAGCCAGACACCAUCUCCAUCGCCUCCCGCACCUCCCAGAACACACUGGAUAGCGACAAGUUGUCUGGUGGUUCAGAGUUGACGGUGGUCAUCUACGACUUCAUGGCUAGCAAUGGAUCGGAGUUGACUGUACGCAGAGGUCAGACGGUGGAGUUGCUAGAACGGCCCCAGGACAAGCCCGAAUGGUGUCUGGUUCGCACCACUGACCAUUCACCUGCCCAGGAGGGUCUGGUUCCCAGCUCUAUGCUUUGCAUCACCCAUUCCCGAAGUAGUAUGGAGAUGGAGGGCAUUUUCAACAAUAAAGACACGCUCUCAGUCUGCAGUAAUGACGGAGGACUUUCAGGGAGUGCCACCCUGCAGCCAGGUCAUUUGCAGAGCUCUCCUGGACCCAAACGGCCCGGAAAUACUCUGCGCAAGUGGCUGACAAGCCCUGUCAGACGACUCAGCAGUGGUAAAGCAGACAGCCAUGUGAAGAAACUUGCACACAAGCACAAGAAGAAUCGAGAUGUCCGCAAGAACGCAGACGCUGGCUCACAGAAAGACUCAGAUGAUAGUGCCGCCACACCACAAGAUGAGACCAUAGAGGAGAGAAUGAGAAGUGAGGGAUUGAGCAGUGGCACUUUGUCUAAGUCUUCCUCCUCAGGGAUGCAGAGCUGUGGUGAGGAGGAGGGGGAGGAAGGGCCAGACUCGGUUCCCCUGCCACCCCCUAUGGCCAUCCAACAGCACAGCCUUCUGCAUCAGGACUCCCAGGAGGACAAGGCUACAUCCCGUCUGUCUGGACGUCCCAGCAGCUCAGAGACACCGAGUGCAGUUGAACUGGUCAGCGCCAUUGAGGAACUCGUCAAGAGCAAAGUGAGUCUGGAGGACAGGCCUAGUUCUCUCCCUGUUGAGCGAGGAGAUAGCAGUAGUCCUUCCUUCAACCCAUCAGAUAACUCCUUCAUGUCUUCCUCCUCUCCCAUCGAGGAGAUGGACGAACGCAAGACUGGAUUCUUCAAGAGACGACACUAUAUACUGCUGGAACUGGUGGAGACAGAGAAAGAUUAUGUGAGGGACCUUGGUGCAGUCGUGGAGGGAUACAUGAGCAGUAUGAAGGAGGAGGGUGUACCUGACGACAUGAAGGGCAAAGAUAAGAUCGUCUUUGGGAACAUUCACCAGAUUUAUGACUGGCAUAAAGACUUCUUUCUUGGUGAACUAGAGAAGUGCUUGGAAGACCCAGAUAGGCUCGCACCCCUGAUUAUCAGACAGGAACGAAGACUGCACAUGUACAUUGUGUACUGCCAAAACAAACCCAAAUCAGAGCACAUUGUUUCAGAAUACAUUGAAACAUAUUUUGAGGAUUUAAAACAGAGGUUGGGCCACAGGCUACAGAUCACAGAUCUACUGAUCAAACCAGUGCAGCGGAUCAUGAAAUACCAGCUUCUGCUGAAGGAUUUUCUCAAGAUCUCCAAAAAGGCUGGUUUGGAUACUGUAGAAUUAGAGAAAGCGGUAGAGGUGAUGUGUGUUGUUCCGAAACGCUGCAAUGACAUGAUGAAUGUUGGACGCCUCCAAGGAUUUGAUGGUAAAAUUGUAGCCCAGGGAAGACUGCUUCUCCAGGAUACCUUCAUGGUCUCAGACCAGGAUGGUAGUCUCCUUUCCCGCAUGAAAGAGAGGCGCGUCUUUCUCUUCGAGCAGAUAGUUAUCUUCAGUGAACCUCUAGAUAAAAAGAAGGGGUUCUCCAUGCCGAGCUAUCUGUUUAAGAACAGCAUAAAGGUCAGUUGGUUGGGUCUAGAAGAGAGUCCUGACAAUGACCCUUGUAAGUUUAUUUUGACCUCAAGGUCAUCAACUGGCAGUACAGAGCACUAUGUCCUCCAUUCCUCGAACUGGGCACUUUGCCAGGCCUGGAUACAGCAGAUCAGCAGCAUCCUGGAGAACCAGAGAAACUUCCUUAAUGCACUGACUUCACCCAUUGAAUACCAACGGAACCAUGCUGGGGCAAGCAGUCUGGGUGGACCCAGCAUCAGUGGACUUCCAGGGGGUAGCAGCAACUCUGCCAUGGGUGCAAGCUGUGGCUCUCGGUCCCGAUCUUCCCAAAUUCCUCAACCUUCUUCUCGUCUCCCCCAACCAGUGCAGCAUCAUCAUGUCCCUGCCCCAGAUGACCGCACUUCAGAACUUUACAGUCCAGAAAGGCUCCCCAUUUUGGGCCUCAAUGCCAGUUUCGCCUACUGGCAGGCCUGGCUCUUUCACAGAGCAGAGUGACACAUUGAGUCUCAACCAGUGUCAGACUCGCAGGCACUCCACCCACAGUAAGGAGUUGGACCGCAUCAGUACUUGCUCCUCCACCAGUGAGCAGUCCCUGCAUUCAACUCACAGCAAUGGGAGUGAACGUAGCAGCAGCAGCAGUGUGUCAACCAUGUUGGUGACCCAGGACUAUGUGGCUCUAAAAGAAGAUGAGAUCAGCGUGUAUCAAGGUGAAGUUAUGCAGAUAUUGGCCUCUAACCAACAAAACAUGUUCCUA